AUGGGAAAGGUUGCUUGUUGAGAGAAUGAUUGUAAAGAAUGGGAGAUGGAAGAAAGAACCUUGAAUGACCACGAGGAGAAUGACUGGAAGCAUGCAGAGGAAAGAGAGAAGCACCAUGUAAACAAACGCCUUCGGAAUGGAAUGAGAGCUGGAUGGAAACUCGUCUAGCUCUGGCCUGUGUUCUUCAAGAAAAGUUAAACUGCAAAAGGUCCCCACCCAUAAGAUGGCGAACCUCCUGCUUCUCUUCUGGGUCCUCGGUUCCCGCCGGCACCACCUGAAGCCCAAUCACCCCUCGCCCCCUUCCCAAUCCCAGCAUAAUAUACCUAGCCAAUAGCCACCAGCCCCGUAGAAG